GGCAAUAAUGCAAAGGGUCAUUUCCCCACCAUCCCCUCUGCUCCUGACAUGUCCGCUCUGGGGUUGGGGGUGGGGGGAUCAUUAAGAACAGCUGCGUGAACGAGAUCAAGCAGAAGAACACCUGGCAGCUGGCAAGAAAGGGGUUUGUUCCGUAGCUUAAUAUAAGGCGGGUGCCGUCCUUGAAUCACAGAGGAGCAGAAGAAACCUGGACCCCCUUAGAAGCCCACGGUUUGGCUGAAAUUGUACGGUGCUAGGGGAUGGGGUUUUCUUAAGCCCACCCAGUGAUGUAGCAUCCUUUGCUGGUGCGCGGGGCACCCACACAUGCACCAGGUGGGACCAGGAGCUGGGCAGAGAGAGGGAACAAAACCCACCAUGCCAGCCCAACUCUCACAGGGCUGGCGUUAGACAUGGAGGGUUCACGGGGCCACAGAAAAGUCCCUGUGAUCACACAGGGUCCCCGGACGUUUCACCAUCUAUUGAUCCCUGUGCCACCACUUUAUUUCUCACUGCCACCACCCAGGCCCUACCUGGUACAAUACUGAGUCCAGUCAGGGUUAAAUUGGAACAUAAACUUCUGUUUAUUUAUUGCAGUUUAACAAGCGUGUGGUUUCAUAAACGGUAUUGGUGAAUUACAAUCAUGGGGUGCCUAUCCAGACCUAUAACUUCCGCUACCUGCUCUCCCUCACUAAACCACCUCUCAGAUAUUUACUUGUCUUCCUAGCUCCUAACUGUUCCUGACUCAGCUUUUUUUGCAACACUAAGUCAACCUACCCACAAACUCUAUCCCAAUUCACUCCCACUCCAACCAACCACCCAGCUCCUAACGAACUCCCGCCUUCGCCCCUCUCAGAGCUGCUUUUAUAGUCCCUCUGACUCCACCCCCUGGGUCUCUGCUCCUUUGCUGGCGCCCGGGACACCCAAACAUGCACCAGGUGGGACAGAGGGGGGACAAAACCCACCACGCCAGCCCAACUCUCACAGGGCUGGCGUUAGACAUGGAGGGUUCAUGGGGCCACACUACAUUGCCCACCUGCCCAUCGGUGCAAAGGGGAGACCGGCCAACUGAUGCAGCCCUUGGCAGGUGACCCUCCCCAACACUGGCCAGACAGCCAUUCAAGAAGGGGGCCAGGGGCAUGGAGGCCUGGCCCCGGGCUCUGGGGCCCAGAGACCCCCAGCGGCAGGCAGGGCAGGGAUCCCUGUGUGGCGCACCCAGCUUGCGCUCCUCAAAAUAAUGCGCCUGGGAUUACGGCCCUCCUAAAGCUUCCCACACUAUGCCCCUCAGCCCACCCCAUAACUUUCCUUGUAUAUAGAAUCAUAGAAUCAUAGAAUCAUAGAAUCCUAGAGUUGGAAGAGACCACAAGGGCCAUCGAGUCCAACCCCCUGCCAAGCAGGAAACACCAUCAGAGCACUCCUGACAUAUGGUUGUCAAGCCUCUGCUUAAAGACCUCCAAAGAAGGAGACUCCACCACACUCCUUGGCAGCAAAUUCCACUGUCGAACAGCUCUUACUGUCAGGAAGUUCUUCCUAAUGUUUAGGUGGAAUCUUCUUUCUUGUAGUUUGGAUCCAUUGCUCCGUGUCCGCUUCUCUGGAGCAGCAGAAAACAACCUUUCUCCCUCCUCUAUGUGAUAUCCUUUUAUAUAUUUGAACAUGGCUAUCAUAUCACCCCUUAACCUCCUCUUCUCCAGGCUAAACAUGCCCAGCUCCCUUAGCCGUUCCUCAUAAGGCAUCGUUUCCAGGCCUUUGACCAUUUUGGUUGCCCUCCUCUGGACACGUUCCAGUUUGUCAGUGUCCUUCUUGAACUGUGGUGCCCAGAACUAUUUCAAUCAAUGAGUGGGGGGUAGGCAGAAAAAACAAAACAAAUAGGCACAGGUUACUCAAACAGCAGCAUCUAAGAAAUGGGGAACAAGUGCUGUCCAAAAUGGUGCUGGACUAAGUCCCAUCAGCCCCUGCCAGCAGAUGGCAGCGGUCAGAGAUGAUAGGAGUCUCAGCCCAGCAGGAGUGGGGAAUCUGUGGCCAUCCGGAUUUGUUGCUUUCAUUUUUUUUAUAGCAUUUAUACACAGAUUAACAGUUCCAAAAUGUAUUCGGACUACAACUCCCAUCACCCCUGACCAUUGGCCAAGCCUAGUACAUGAAUAAAAAUAAUUUCGCCCCCUAUUUGUAUUCAGAGAAGGCCGCCACCGAACGAACAAUAUCCGCAAGAAGCAGCUGUCUGUAGCCAACCGGCGACGCCACAACGAAACCUAAUCCACAAUCUCAGAGGCAGCGGGGGGAAUAUUCGAUCUGGUUCGCCUCGAUCUGGAGAAACGAAAUUUGUGCUGGAAAAAGUUUUAAAAGGAAAAGAACAAGAGGAAGGAGGGAAGGAGGGAAGGAACCCAAAUAUAUCAAGAAGAUGAGCCAGAAUUUGCAAGACACUCUUGAGAAGUUUCGGAACGUGAUGGAAGAAAUGGAGCGGAAAGUGGCGGCCAUGCGGGAAAGGACGGAGGAAGCUUACAGAAAGAUCAACGAGCUGGAAGAGCAGAAAUAUUCGCUGAUUGACUCCAGCGAGCAGCUAAGCAGAGAGCUUCACAAACUGUCCUACCAAGUGGCCCUCUUUGAGACCCAGAAAAACCCUCAAGAAAAGAUCUAUCAGACUCCCAGGCCGAAGGGAAAUUUUGCCGUCGAGAAAUGAACAGGAGACAAAAGAAUGGCAAAAAAUUUUUUUGCUAAUGAUCGCAACCAACAGCGUGAAUUAAAAAAAUGACACAAACG